CCUACGGGUGGCAGCAGUGGGGAAUAUUGGGCAACGGAGGAAACUCUGACCCAGCAACGCCGCGUGAAUGAUGAAGGUCUUCGGAUGGUAAAGUUCUUUUCUAAGGGAAGAAGAAAGUGACGGUACCUUAGGAAUAAGCCUCGGCUAACUACGUGCCAGCCGCCGCGGUAAUACGUAGGAGGCAAGCGUUAUCCGGAAUGACUGGGCGUAAAGGGUGCGUAGGUGGUUCAGCAAGUUAGUAGCGUAAUUCCGGAGCUCAACUUCGGCACUACUACUAAAACUGUUGGACUUGAGUGCAGGAGGGGCAACUGGAAUUUCUAGUGUAGCGGUGGAAUGCGUAGAUAUUAGGAAGAACACCGGUGGCGAAGGCGAGUUGCUGGACUGUAACUGACACUGAGGCACGAAAGCGUGGGGAGCAAACAGGAUUAGAUACCCUUGUAGUC
rnacentral:rRNA from 1 species